UGAUGGUGACUGCUAGUCUAGCUAGCCUUUAC
rnacentral:piRNA from 1 species